rnacentral:rRNA from 1 species
CGAGUGGGGAAUAACUUCGGGAAACCGAGGCUAAUACCGCAUAAUACCCACGGGUCAAAGGAGCAAUUCGCUUGAGGAGGAGGUCGCGGCCCGAUUAGUUAGUUGGCGGGGUAAUGGCCCCACCAAGACGGUGAUCGGUAUCCGGCCUGAGAGGGCGCACGGACACACUGGAACUGAAACACGGUCCAGACUCCUACGGGAGGCAGCAGUGGGGAAUUUUGCGCAAUGGGGGAAACCCUGACGCAGCAACGCCGCGUGGAGGAUGAAGUCUCUUGGGACGUAAACUCCUUUCGAUCGGGACGAUUAUGACGGUACCGGAAGAAGAAGCCCCGGCUAACUACGUG